GGAGCUUGUUACAGAUGCAGAUUCUCUGACUUCUUACUGCACCAGUGAAGUCAGGAUCUGCAUUUGAAUAAGACCC
ensembl:miRNA MIR5683 microRNA 5683